rnacentral:rRNA from 1 species
GAAGGCCUUCGGGUUGUAAAGCACUUUCAGCGAGGAGGAAAGGUGAGUAGUUAAUAACUGCUCGCUGUGACGUUACUCGCAGAAGAAGCACCGGCUAACUCCGUGCCAGCAGCCGCGGUAAUACGGAGGGUGCAAGCGUUAAUCGGAAUUACUGGGCGUAAAGCGCGCGUAGGUGGUUUGUUAAGUGGGAUGUGAAAUCCCCGGGCUCAACCUGGGAAUUGCAUCCCAAACUGGCAAACUAGAGUACAAGAGAGGGGUGUGGAAUUUCCUGUGUAGCGGUGAAAUGCGUAGAUAUAGGAAGGAACAUCAGUGGCGAAG